GUAGGUGGCAAGCGUUGUCCGGAAUUAUUGGGCGUAAAGCGCGCGCAGGCGGUUCUUUAAGUCUGAUGUGAAAGCCCACGGCUCAACCGUGGAGGGUCAUUGGAAACUGGAGAACUUGGAGUACAGAAGAGGAAAGCGGAAUUCCACGUGUAGCGGUGAAAUGCGUAGAGAUGUGGAGGAACACCAGUGGCGAAGGCGGCUUUCUGGUCUGUAACUGACGCUGAGGCGCGAAAGCGUGGGGAGCAAACAGGGAUUAGAUACCCUGGUAGUCCACGCCGUAAACGAUGAGUGCUAAGUGUUAGGGGGUUUCCGCCCCCUUAGUGCUGCAGCUAACGCAUUAAGCACUCCGCCUGGGGAUACGGCCGCAAGGCUG
rnacentral:rRNA from 1 species